rnacentral:rRNA from 1 species
UACGUAGGGGGCAAGCGUUAUCCGGAUUUACUGGGUGUAAAGGGAGCGUAGACGGCAGGGCAAGUCUGGAGUGAAAGCCCGGGGCCCAACCCCGGCCCGCCGUUGAAACUGGCAGUCUCGAGUUGGAGAGAAGUAUGCGGAAUGCGCGGUGUAGCGGUGAAAUGCUUAGAUAUCACGAAGAACCCCGAUUGCGAAGGCAGCCUGCCGCAGCGUUACUGACGCUGAAGCUCGAAAGCGCGGGUAUCGAACAGG